rnacentral:lncRNA from 10 species
AGUCCUAUCCCUACGGUCCUGGAAUUGGGGGUUACUAUCUUGGAAUCUAGGGGCACUCCAGGCUCUGGGCUCAGACGGCUGGCUUCUGCCUACCCGAGCCUUAACCUUUCAAGGACCAGAAGGAUUCCAGAGCUCUUGCCCUAGGUCCUGGGGCAGCGAUGACUCACUGCAGCACCCCCUCCCACUUCGCCAAGCUGCCGUCUCCGCCCACCCCCAAACAAUCUCGACAGCGCAUUUCGGGAGCCACGGCUCCGGGCGCUUUGCUGGGGGCUAAAGGGGUUUAUCCCUUUCCUUGAAUCCCAGCAGGCUAGAACUACCCCCUCCCAGUCUUCAGGCUUGCCACGCUCUCCACCCGAUCCUUCCAUUGAAAGGCAGAGAAGGAAGGAUGUGCUUGGGAACUUUAAGACCCACGAACGACAGCGCACUGAUGGAGCAGCCCAGUGUCUGGGGCAAAGUCCUCGAGGUUCAUUCAUUCAGGAAGCCUCUGACCAGCCUUUACCAUGCGCUGAGUGAGAAGCUGAGGAUAAGGAAAGAGCAAGACCCCCAAGAAACCCUGAUGUCUGGCUGAAAGCCGAAGCAUGACGCAACUUUGCUAUAUUUCUCUCCAACAAGGAUUUGUAUAUUUUCGCUUUCUCCUCAAGUAACACCUGGACCUGCUCCUUUCCCUUCAAACGCUGAGGGCUCAGUCUCCAAGUUCCUUUAUGAAACAGGGUGUACCAUCAGAGACGCAGGAGACUUCAGAAAUGAAGAUGCAAAGACAACAGGGGAAACCAUAUAUGUUUAUGGACAGUCAUGCCAAAGUAUGAUUGGAAGACAAAAAGCUAGACCCACCUAAAAGUGAAGUUACAUAUGUGGAUGUUUAUAUGAAGAAUAAAGGACACAAGAAAGGAUUCAAGAAAUGAAAAACGGUGGAGGAAGAUAAACAUUUCAAGAUUCAGAUCACGUUGCUGCCCGAAUUCAGAGUGUCUCUAAGGAAAUAGCUAGAAGGGGUUUUCAACUCUCAGCUUCCUUCCAAGGAAUAAAGAAUUUGCUGUGAGCAAAAAAACUUGCCAAGAAAAUGCCAAUUUGUGUCACACUAACAUCUUUCUUAAGGCUGAACGUGGACUUCGGAAAUGUGAACCUUUGGCUCUGGUGAACACAGUCAGCCUUGAGGGUUUGAAAUUAGGUUCUUCAGAAGGACGGAAGGAAAUCUGAGAGAUCAACUUAGACACCCACUAAUUAGAAAAUGCACCGACACCAGAGACUUGUUUGCAAUGAGUGGUGGGGUCAACCUUUCCAUGGCACCUGACGUGAACUUAGAAAAAUGGAAUCCCUGAAAACGUUUGGAAAUGAUUUUAUCGGAGACAGAGAGAGACAGCAACUGCUGGAGGGAGAAAGAGAGGACAAAAGGCAAACCAAAGUGAGAUGCUGUAAUCGAGAAGACUUGGCGAGAACAAAUGGAAGAACGUUUGAACUUGCUUGUUGCAGACAAAACAACCUUCAAAGGCUACCUUUUUCCUAUUUGAUGGGGUAAAAUUGCUUCCACCAAUGCAUUAUACAUAUUUAAAACUCUCUUUCUGCAUUUAUAAUCUUCAUAGAUGCAGCUUCCUCCAAACUUAGGUAAUGAAUGUAAGAUGAUGCUCCCUUGGGGGUUGUAAAGACAAUCUAAGAACAAGUCAUUUCGGAGUAACAAACUUCACAGCUGGGGAUACUUUCCAUUGCAUAAGGCACCUACCCCUAAAGCUUUCAUUGUUUCACUCUUAGGCAGUUAUGUCAUUAUUUCACUUACCUCAUUGGGGAAAUCAUUGUUUAACAACCAAAUAUAAAUGGGGAAAUAGUCUUCUACUUUAUCUUCUCUAGGAUAACAGCUUCCCUCCCCCACUUCCCUCCACAGAAGGAUUAGUCCCAAAUGGGUGAUGAAUUGCUCUAAACAGUCCAACAAUCCCAGAGAGAGAAAUGAGAAGAAAAAUAACUAGCUGAUUACCAAUAGGGAACAAAUUGGCCACUUGAGAAUUCAGUGGCUAGAAUGACAAAUGAGAAAAUGAAAAUCCUCAUCAAGGGACUAGACUUGCUGAUUAGUCCAAGUGCAGAUGACCACUUCCCAUGCCUCUCCUGCCCUGCUGUGCGAUGAUUUACAUCUGAUUGAACAUUAUUUUUUAUUUGGGACCGGAUUUCUAAAAGGGUGUUUGGAAAACUUUGAAGUACUUAAUUAUAACCAGGAGGCAUUUGGGGGCUGAGCACUGAAAUGGAAGAUGCUCUGUGUUGGGCUUAUGGAAUGUUCAUUUAGGGAAGAACCCAUGUCUGCCUGGUUUGGUCUGGUUUUUCAUUCCAUCACCCCUUAAGGCAGCUUUCCAAGGUUUUCUGGACUCUGGAAGAAAAUAAAAAUGAGAAGCGUAUUCUUGGCCGAGGGAUCCACAUUGAAGGCAGACUCCAGGAUUUCAACAUGUGGAUAGACUGGGCUUUCUGUUAAUCAUCAAUUACUAAAAAUAGAAAUAAUCUGGGACUCCUUUGAAGGGAGACCAUUUUUUAUGAGACUUCAUUUGAACCAAUCUGUCAAGGGAAGUUGGGUAUAUAAUGAACAAUAGACAUUCUUAGUGGUGCUAAGUCAUAUAUGCAUGAAGAAAUAAAACAGGACUGUCAACCAUUAUCCUCCAAGUGGACAUAGUCACAUGAGCUACAGGAAUUAUGAGGAAAAGGGGAGGUGGAGAUUUUGAGUCAGGUGAUCAGGAUAGGAUUCAGAGAGAAAGGGUAAUAGGACUCAGGCCUUGAAGGAGGGAUAGAGCUAUAGUGAUUUCUGGGUGGGAAUCACUUGAAUGAAGAAUAGUACUGAUUUUUUUUUAAAUGAUUUGGUACAGAGUAGAAUGUGUGUCUUAAGCAAAGCGUUUUUCAGUACAGGAAUCUGGAAAGAUGAGACAGAACAUAAAAUUUUACAUGUAUGAAUGGGUCUUUAACACCAGGCAGAGAAUUGGGUUUGAUUCUAAAAGGACCAGAGGUACAUUAAGGAUUCUAAGGCAAGUUAGACUUGUUUUAGAGGUCUAUUUUCCUCAUCUGACAAAAAGAAUCAGCAAAACAGCAUUCUCUGUAACUUUUCCAACAAGUAAAAUCAACAUGUAAGACUGCCAUUUUGAUUCUUCUUUGGUUUGUGGGACCAGUGCUGUGGAAGAUAAGAAUGAAUUAGCACAGUGCCUGGCUCUAGGACUCAACACAUAUUGUUAAAUGCAUGAAUGAAGCUGAACUAUAUAGAACCAGAGUACUGUUUCCUAGAACAGAUAAAGAAGACCUUAUUACCUCAGACCUCUCAAGAGGUAUCAAUAGAGAAUUUGAUGGGGGCCCUGGUUGGAAGUUAUGUGAACCUGGGCAUGUAACUUCACCUUUUUGAGUCUGUAUUUCAUCAUCUGAAAAAGCAAAGCAUGAAAGCAGAAACUUCUACUCUAUCUGCAAUUUUCUUCCUUCCACUGGCAGUGAUAAUAUUUAAAAAGUACUUGGCAUCACCCAAAUCUGUCUUCCAGUGAAAAUCAGAAUCCUUCUGAUUGUGAUUGCUCCCAAUUUCCUAGAAUUGGAACAGACUAAAAUAUAUGGGUUAACUCUGGAGCCCAGGCUAAUGGCACAACAUAUGGUAGGUUGCAAGUAACACAAUGUUUAGCUCAGUCUUCCAU